GAAAUGCGAUAAGUAAUGUGAAUUGCAGAAUUCAGUGAAUCAUCGAAUCUUUGAACGCACAUUGCGCCCGCCAGUAUUCUGGCGGGCAUGCCUGUUCGAGCGUCAUUACAACCCUCAGGCCCCCGGGCCUGGCGUUGGGGAUCGGCGGAAGCCCCCUGCGGGCACAACGCCGUCCCCCAAAUACAGUGGCGGUCCCGCCGCAGCUUCCAUUGCGUAGUAGCUAACACCUCGCAACUGGAGAGCGGCGCGGCCACGCCGUAAAACACCCAACUUCUGAAUGUUGACCUCGAAUCAGGUAGGAGUACCCGCUGAACUUAAGC
rnacentral:misc_RNA from 1 species